CACUUCCGGCCGCCGGGAUCCGCCGCCGGGUUUUGGGAGCCGCCGCGCGGCCGUGGGGGGGACGAGGCGCUCCCUACCCCGGGGUCCGCCCCUGCGACCCGGCGGGGAACUUCGCCUCCAAAGCCCGCCGGGGAUGGCUCAGUCGGCGGACGAGGGGUGCGAAGGGCGGCAGCCGUUUCUCGGGGUUUCCUCGGGGCCGUGCUGGGCUGGGAAGCCACCGCGCAACUUUUACUGAAGCUCCGUGGCGAGCUGCCACCUCCGCGAAGGGGCCCGAGGCGGCGGCGGACGGCCUCCCGCGGGAGCACGGGCCCCCCGGGACGGGUCCUCAGGUGGAGGACGCGGGCCUCAGGCCCGGGCCGGGGCGGCCGAAGCGCAGCUGAGGCGGCGCCCCGGGGACCCCUCGUCGGCCACUAGCGCUGCAGCUGAGGCGCCGCCCGCAGAGAGGAGACCGCCCCCCGGAGUUGAGAGAAAGCUAUGAGGAUGUUCUCUGCACACUGGACUCUCAUAAGUCUGCAGCUGCAUCCACCUCUCUGGUGGCUCCUCCACUCAAAGAGACAGAUCCAGUACUGCAUAUGGAUGCUUCAGUCUUACCCUGUCUGCUGGGACUGACCAGGGAUGACCACUUGUGUCUGAGCUUGGCAACACCUUGGGAAUUGAAUAUCUGCAGUAGUGUCCUCGCCUUCAUCUACCUCACAGCAUUUCAAUGCAGUUCACUUGCUGCACUAGGUAAGAUUCCUCCCUCACUUAUUUCCCUCUUUGUUCAGCCUUUGAAUGGACCUAUAAUUCAAGAAAUUGACAGGGAGCAUGAAAGGAUUGGA
rnacentral:lncRNA from 1 species